rnacentral:rRNA from 1 species
UACGUAGGGUGCGAGCGUUAAUCGGAAUUACUGGGCGUAAAGCGUGUGCAGGCGGUUUGUUAAGACAGGUGUGAAAUCCCCGGGCUUAACCUGGGAAUGGCGCUUGUUACUGGCAGACUAGAGUGCGUCAGAGGGAGGUGGAAUUCCACGUGUAGCAGUGAAAUGCGUAGAGAUGUGGAGGAACACCGAUGGCGAAGGCAGCCUCCUGGGAUGACACUGACGCUCAUACACGAAAGCGUGGGGAGCAAACAGG